rnacentral:rRNA from 1 species
AUACGGAGGGUGCAAGCGUUACUGGGAAUCACUGGGCGUAAAGCGCGCGCAGGCGGCUAUUUAAGUUGGAUGUGAAAGCCUACGGCUCAACCGUGGAACUGCAUCCAAAACUAUUUAGCUAGAGUGUGGGAGAGGAAGAUGGAAUUAGUUGUGUAGGGGUAAAAUCCGUAGAGAUAACUAGGAAUACCAAAAGCGAAGGCAAUCUUCUGGAACACUACUGACGCUGAGGCGCGAAAGCGUGGGGAGCGAACAGGAUUAGAAACCCUAGUAGUCC